rnacentral:lncRNA from 1 species
UCACGAAGUAGCUGCUUGGGCUGUGUGACCAUCUUUUCCCAGGGCAUGCAAGCUGCAAAGAUAGAGCCGAAAAAGUGAUUUCGUUAAGCGCUCUAUAGAUUUCGGCAGAGCAAAAUAGCACAUCAAAUACAUGACGAUGGACACAUGCAUCUGUUUCAUUAUCUGGGAAAUUAUCCUCAGUCUCAUACUGACACUGUUUAUGUGGGUUGAAUGAAAAUAACACUGACAUCAUGAAAUGGAG